rnacentral:tRNA from 1 species
UGGUAAGAUGGCCGAAGUAGGUGCAAGAUUGUAGCCCUUGUUAUAAAGGUUAAAGCCCUUUUUUUACCA